UACGGAGGGGGCUAGCGUUGUUCGGAAUUACUGGGCGUAAAGCGCGCGUAGGCGGACCUGCAAGUCGGGGGUGAAAGCCCGAGGCUCAACCUCGGAACUGCCUUCGAUACUGCGGGUCUCGAGUCCGGGAGAGGUGAGUGGAAUUCCUAGUGUAGCGGUGAAAUUCGUAGAUAUUAGGAAGAACACCAGUGGCGAAGGCGGCUCACUGGCCCGGUACUGACGCUGAGGCGCGAAAGCGUGGGGAGCAAACAGG
rnacentral:rRNA from 1 species